UACGAAGGGGGCUAGCGUUGUUCGGAUUUACUGGGCGUAAAGCGCACGUAGGCGGAUCGUUAAGUCGGGGGUGAAAUCCUGGAGCUCAACUCCAGAACUGCCUUCGAUACUGGCGAUCUUGAGUCCGGAAGAGGUGAGUGGAACUCCUAGUGUAGAGGUGGAAUUCGUAGAUAUUAGGAAGAACACCCGCGGCUAAGGCGGCUCUCUAGUACGGUACUGACGCUGAGACGCGAAAGCGUGGGGAGCGAACAGG
rnacentral:rRNA from 1 species